AGAGUUUGAUCCUGGCUCAGGACGAACGCUGGCGGCGGGUUUAACACAUGCAAGUCGAGGGACGAAGCCAUCUUCGGGUGGUGGAGACCGGCGAACGGGUGAGUAACACGUGAGGAACCUACCCUCUGCUUCGGGAUAACCCCGGGAAACCGGGGCUAAUACCGGAUGUUCCACGUGGUCUGCAUGGAUCGUGUGGGAAAGCUUUUGCGGCAGGGGAGGGUCUCGCGGCGUAUCAGCUUGUUGGUGGGGUAAUGGCCUACCAAGGCGACGACGCGUAGCUGGAGUGAGAGCUCGAACAGCCACACUGGGACUGAGACACGGCCCAGACCCCUACGGGAGGCAGCAGUGGAGAAUCUUGCGCAAUGGGCGGAAGCCUGACGCAGCCACGCCGCGUGCGGGAAGAAGGCCUUCGGGUCGUAAACCGCUUUCAGCAGGGACGAAGCGAUCAGUGACGGUACCUGCAGAAGAAGGACCGGCCAACUACGUGCCAGCAGCCGCGGUAAUACGUAGGGUCCGAGCGUUGUCCGGAAUCAUUGGGCGUAAAGCGCAUGUAGGCGGCCAUGUGAG
rnacentral:rRNA from 1 species